UAACUCGAAACACUGGGAUACUGUUUUGUGAGGGUAGAUUAUAGCCAUAAUCCAUCAGAAAUUCUAUAACGUUAUGUAUUCAGCCUUCUUGGAUAUCCAUCAUCUGGGAGGCUUUUGCUUGUAGUCCUUGGCUGUUUCAGCCCGAUCCAACCACUUACACUCCUCCUUCAUUUUCUUAUUACAUUACCUGUGUCUCACUACUCUGAAUACAUGAACUGCUUUUCCCUUGUAUACACAGCAAACUUGAACAGUGUAUCUUCAUUUCAAGGCCUUUCUGGCUUAGUUGCAUCCUUCUCUCGUUUCUGUCACAGCACGAGGCCAUAGCACCUGCACUCAUCCAGUCAAUGGUGCUGACCUUGGCUGCUGCUGCUGAAUGUCCUUGAACUAGCUCUGUUCCCUGCUGCAAAAUCACCUUGCUGCCCUCUGUACUUCUCCUUUCUAUCUCAUCUCCUGGGAUACCAAUAAAUAACCCCCUUUUUUCUUUUUUUUUUUUUUCUUCCAAUAUCAUUUCAUUAUUUUCUUUGUGCCUCUGUAGCUCUUAGGGUAUGUGUUCUGGGUGCCAGCAGUCACUGGUAUGUACAGGCAAAGUACAAUUUUUCAGCCAGGCACAACACAAACUGGACUACUACUGCUUCUGCUGCUACUUCUCACCUUAGAGAACUCCCUUUUCAUGUGAUAGAUAGGAGAGAAUGAAACAGGGGAACUUAGCAAAUAGGAAACAUCAAAUCACAUAUAGUGGCAAUACUAAGCCACUGUCUGAAGCAGUGAAGGAGCACCUGGUGGGAAGGCAGAGCCAAACCAGGGGAGCUCAGGUGCAUGCAGUGCAAUGCAAUGCACCCGAGUGACUGGAAGGGCUGCAACCAGAAUCCAUCCCUUUCUAGACCUCAUUUAAAGCUUGGCAGUGGAUGCAAGGGUAUCUCUUGUUGGAGCUCCCUGCCUACUUCUGGCCUUUCAAAGCUCCAGCAUUUGCUGCACAAGAGGGAUGAAGUGAAGGAGCAAAAGCCCAAAGGGCCUCUGCAGAACGAGAUGCUCACAACUUGCUGCCCCUUGUGCAGUGGAACAGCUGCAGGGCAGCCCAUGUUUGACACCGAUCUCCUGUUUAGACCAGGUGUUGUGACCUUUUAAGCCACCUUACCAAGAGAAUAAGGGGCAAGUGGUGCCCACAGACAGCACUAAUUGUGGAAGUGCAGGUGACCUGGUGGCCAUGAGUGGUUGUCACCCACCACCCCACACACCUGGGAGCAGGCUGGACCUGGCAGUAAUGAUGCCUUUAGCAAGCCAAUUAAGCCGUGCUACUUGAUGAGGAUGCACUACACAGCUUGCAAACGACACGGGGUCAGCAGCGCUUCUGUCUCUCACGCUUGCUUGUUAGCACACCUCAUUUCUCGGGCUUUAAGCCGCCUAAUUGGAUGUUGCGGCGGCGGGAGGAGGGAGGAAGGUGGGAGUACCGAGGGGAAAAGCAGCUCCUGGAGCUCAUCAGCCGCGAUGAUCGCUAGAUGGCAUUGCAAGCACACCGUUACCAGCGAUGGGCUGGCGGCUGGGGAUGGGGAUCGAGAUGGAACUGGGGUAGGGGCUGGAGAUAGGAAUGCGGCAGGGCUGGGGUUGGGGAUCAGUUUAAGGCCUGGAUUGACUAUAACCACAGAACAGUCAAGGAUGCUCCUCGGUCAUGCUGUCAUCACGCUUUUUAUCAUGAGAUUUUGGUGAAACUCUAAAGGAAGAGAAGAGCAAAAGUUGUAAAAUGAUACACUUCUCAUAACAAGAACUACUUUUUCCCAUGGGUUCCAUAUCAUGAAGCAGGCAAGGAGUUACGUUUAGGUAAGACUGCUGCUUUCUGAUACUGAGUUUUUGUGAAACAAGCAGUCAGUGCCACCAAACACAUUGUGCAUGAGGAUUUUCAUGCCCUGUGGUGUCAGCUCUACUAUGGAAGGCAGAAGGUAAUGAGCUCCCUGUAGCAGUGACACAGAACACAUUGUGACCUGAGAAGUGGGAGCAGCCCUGAGAGCCCUUUGGGCUGUGCAUCAGUGGGGGAUCAGCCAGAGAAGGGAAGAUAAAUAAAGGCAAUGUCUGGGGGUGGAUUGCUGAACUAAUUUCAUUGCAGCAGGUCCUUUACUUUGCAAAUAGGCUUGGCAUAAGCCUAUGUACCUAUGUAGGUGCUUAAAGUGGGCUAUAAUGCUAAUACAGAUGUAUGUAAAUGGGUUAUAACACUCGUAUCUCUAUACAAUAUAGACAACCUAUAACAUAGGUUAUAACCCUCCUGCCCCAGGGCAUAAGCUAUCCACUGCCCUCCAUGAGGAAGCAAUCUGACCCGCACAGCAAUUCUUGCAUCUCCUCUGAGAAGGCAUCUCCCAGAGAAAGCACAUGGGAUCAGACAGAGCUGCCAGGGGAAUGUGAAUA